rnacentral:lncRNA from 1 species
AGCAGGAUAGGCUAUAGGAGGUACUUGACUGCAUGGAUGUGACUGGGACUUGGCUUCUCUUGCAGCAACUGGCUGAGUCCUGAUGUUUGGAUAUUUGUUGGCACUUGGUUACGGUGCCUGUUAAGAACUUGCAUGCAUUGAAGUGUCAGGGCUUUGUCAUUAGAGAGGCCUCUGUUGCUGGAUGAGAGCCCCUUGUAUAAUUUUGCUGACAGGCUUGCCCAAAGAAACCAAACAUUAGCAGCACAGAAAAGAAGUGCUUUGCCAGGUACAGAGGUUGUUAAUUGGCUGGUCUUGUGGGAGAUGCCAAGGGUUUCUUGGAGGGUAACGACUCUGGAAGCUUUUUCUAAAGCAAAGAAUCUCAAGUAAUUGCAUCAUGCAAUAUGCAAAGCACCUGACUGCAAGUGGGGGCUGCAGGUCACUGUUUGGCAGCUAGAGUCAGCUACAGACCUGCCAAUCCUUCUUGAUAAGGGGGUUGAAUAAUUAAAUUAUUUGAAGGGGCUGUUCAGCCUGGAGAAGAGAAGGCUGUGGGGUGACCUCAUUGCAGCUUUCCAGAACCUAAAGGGAGCUUAAAAAAAGGAGGGGAGUCAACUCUUUACAAGGGUAGAUAACAGCAGGACAAGGGGAAAUAGUUUUAAGCUGAAGGAGGGAAGAUUGAGGUUGGAUGUCAGGGGAAGUUCUUUACUCUGAGAGUGGUGAGGUGCUGGAACAGCUGCCCAGAGAGGCUGUGGAUGCCCCGUCCAUCCCUGGAGGUGUUCAAGGCCAGGUUGGAUGGGGCCCUGGGCAGCCUGGGCUGGUAUUACAUGUGGAGGUUGGUGGCCCUGCCUGUGGCGGGGGGG